GGCCAGACUCCUACGGGAGGCAGCAGUGGGGAAUAUUGCACAAUGGGGGAAACCCUGAUGCAGCAACGCCGCGUGAGUGAAGAAGUCAUUCGUGAUGUAAAGCUCUAUCAGCAGGGAAGAAAAUGACGGUACCUGAGUAAGAAGCCCCGGCUAACUACGUGCCAGCAGCCGCGGUAAUACGUAGGGGGCAAGCGUUAUCCGGAUUUACUGGGUGUAAAGGGAGCGUAGACGGCAUAGCAAGUCUGAAGUGAAAGCCCAAGGCUCAACCAUGGGACUGCUUUGGAAACUGUUAAGCUAGAGUGCUGGGGAGGUAAGCGGAAUUCCUAGUGUAGCGGUGAAAUGCGUAGAUAUUAGGAGGAACACCAGUGGCGAAGGCGGUCAACUGGACAGCAACUGACGCUGAGGCGCGAAAGCGUGGGGAGCAAACAGGAUUAGAUACCCUUGUA
rnacentral:rRNA from 1 species